GCCCUUGUAGCUCAGUGGAUAGAGCAUCCGCCUCCUAAGCGGAGGGUCGCAGGUUCGAUUCCUGCCAAGGGCACCA
rnacentral:tRNA from 1 species